AUAACAAUACAGGACUCUUUAGAGGCCCUGUAAUUGUAAUGAGUCCACUUAAAAUUCUUUAACUAUGAUCAAUUGGAGGGCAAGUCUGGUGCAGAGCGACUGACCCAUGCGUGCUGCAGCUGAAA
rnacentral:rRNA from 1 species